CGUGAAGAAACGCGUCCGGCGCACCAUCAACAGGAGAGACGAAACCGAAUCCUUUAGUGGCGUUGAACCACUUCAGCUUCGCAUGGGAUUGGGUCGCCUCUGCCCCAUCUCCGGCGAAUUCUUCAUUGAACCGCGGCACCCCAGACCUUCCUUAUUACUCGAU
rnacentral:misc_RNA from 1 species